rnacentral:rRNA from 1 species
AUGGUAGGAUAGAGGCCUACCAUGGUGGUAACGGGUAACGGGGUGUUAGGGCACGACACCGGAGAGGGAGCCUGAGAAACGGCUACCACAUCCAAGGAUGGCAGCAGGCGCGCAAAUUACCCAAUCCCGACACGGGGAGGUAGUGACAAUAAAUAACAAUACGGGGUUCUUUAGGAUCUCGUAAUUGGAAUGAGUACAAUUUAAAUCUCUUAACGAGGAACAAUUGGAGGGCAAGUCUGGCGCCAGCAGCCGCGGUAAUUCCAGCUCCAAUAGCGUAUAUUAAAGUUGUUGCAGUUAAAAAGCUCGUAGUUGAAUUUCGGGGUCAGUAGGUCGGUCGUGCCACUGGUAUGAACUGGUUUUACUGAUUCCUCCCUCUUGAAGAACUGUAAUGCCAUUAAUUUGGUGUUGCAGGGAAUCAGGACUGUUACUUUGAAAAAAUUAGAGUGUUUAAAGCAGGCUUUAGCUUGAAUACAUUAGCAUGGAAUAAUGAAAUAGGACGUUUGAUCCUAUUUUGUUGGUUUCUAGGAUUGACGUAAUGAUUAAUAGGGAUAGUUGGGGGCAUUAGUAUUCAAUUGUCAGAGGUGAAAUUCUUGGAUUUAUUGAAGACUAACUACUGCGAAAGCAUUUGCCAAGGAUGUUUUCAUUAAUCAAGAACGAAAGUUAGGGGAUCGAAGACGAUCAGAUACCGUCGUAGUCUUAACCAUAAGCUAUGCCGACUAGGGAUCGGAUGAUGUUAAUUUUUUAAUGACUCAUUCGGCGCCUUACGGGAAACCAAAG